rnacentral:rRNA from 1 species
UUCCGGUUGAUCCUGCCGGACCCGACUGCUAUUUGGGUGAGAAUAAGCCAUGCGAGUUGAAUGGGAUACCUAAAGUUCCCAUAGCAAACUGCUCAGUAACACAUGAUCAACUUACCCUAUAGAGAAAAAUAACCUCGGGAAACUGAGGAUAAUGUUUCAUAAUUGAAUUGGCUUGGAAAAGUUUUUCAAUGAAAGGGAUAAAAAAAAUGGUUUUUAUCUGCUAUAGGAUAGGAUCGUGUUCGAUUAUGGUUGUUGGUGAGAUAAUGGCUCACCAAGCCGAUAAUCGAUAGGGGCCGUGAGAGCGGGAGCCCCGAGAUGGGUACUGAGACAACGACCCAGGCCUUACGAGGCGCAGCAGGCGCGGAACCUCCGCAAUACACGAAAGUGUGACGGGGUUACCCAAAGUGUUCAAUAGAACUGUGGUAGGUGAGUAAUGUCCCCUACUAGAAAGGAGAGGGCAAGGCUGGUGCCAGCCGCCGCGGUAAAACCAGCUCUUCAAGUGGUCGGGAUAAUUAUUGGGCUUAAAGUGUCCGUAGCCGGUUUAGUAAGUUCCUGGUAAAAUCGGGUAGCUUAACUAUCUGCAUGCUAGGAAUACUGCUAUACUAGAGGGCGGGAGAGGUCUGAGGUACUACAGGGGUAGGGGUGAAAUCUUAUAAUCCUUGUAGGACCACCAGUGGCGAAGGCGUCAGACUGGAACGCGCCUGACGGUGAGGGACGAAAGCCAGGGGAGCGAACCGGAUUAGAUACCCGGGUAGUCCUGGCCGUAAACGAUGCAUACUAGGUGAUGGUACGGCCAUGAGCCGUAUCAGUGCCGUAGGGAAACCGUUAAGUGUGCCGCCUGGGAAGUACGGUCGCAAGGCUAAAACUUAAAGGAAUUGGCGGGGGAGCACCACAAGGGGUGAAGCCUGCGGUUCAAUUGGAAGUCACCGCCGGGAAUCACUAGUGCGGGCCGCCUGUCAGGUCGACCAUAUGGGAGAGCCUCCCANGCCGUUGGGAUGCUUAUGCUUGAGUAUUUCUAAUAGUGUC